GACGGUGCUGCCUGUGUGCAGGGCGACUUAACAGAGGCUGGGACACGUCCUGACAUCCUCUUGUUGAUUGUGCCUUUAAUCAGCGUGCCAGGCUGUCAAUCACGUCUGUCAGGGCGCGCAGGCCACGCCCCCUUUCUGGAGCCCGUUCCACCUCGUCCAGGAUGACGUCAUCCCGUUUAUUAGCCAGAGAUAAAGGAAGAAAUCCUAGAUGGGUCUCCAUCUGUAAGUGAUGCCCUGGACCUCCCUCCUCCUCCUCCUCCUCCUCCUCCUUGACUGGAUCAAAACAGCCUCGUCCACGUCUUCUUUGUUUCACCGAGGGCUGCAAGGUGCGCGUCCACCUGCGCGUGCUCGCGGUUUCUGUGCAGGAAUGCGCGUUCACAGCUGACCAUAACAAGAUUCCACUUUGAUAUACCUUGAGGGAUUCAAGGUGUUUGUGUGAUACUCAAAUAUGUUGUGUGUUUUGACAAAUCACAGUAAUGUAAUAUUUUAGGAUAUUAUGUGGUGUUUAUUAUGCUGUGAUAACGUGAUGAUGUCAUAAUAUUAUUUCUUAUGGGACUGGGCAAGGGUUUAUUCUUGGCUACCUCAGAAUAAAUACUACACUCAA